GUGACCGAAGCCGAAGCAGUCGAGGCGCCAGGUUGUGGUCCUGGUCGAAGCCGGUGCGAGUCCGGUCGGUCACCCCA
rnacentral:tRNA from 1 species